CCAAGGGUCAGACUUGACCCCGGGUUCGUCUGUUUGGAAGACAAAAGCCUCCGUCCAGAUCGAACAAACAAGACUUUCCAAAGAGGCGGAUGAGAGCGAGGUGUCAUCACCGGGCGGCAGAAGAACGGAGCCACGGUCCCUCGUCCUGUUAGUCUGACCCCUCCGUCUCCCCGUACGACCAACUAGCUGCUGGUUGAGUGUGUGAAGAACAAAGACUUAAAG